UCCGGUGAAUACCGUUCCCGGACCUUGUACACACCGCCCGNAAGCCAUGGAAGCCGGGUGUACCUGAAGGUGAUAACCGUAAGGAGUCACUCAAAGGGUAAAACCGGUAACUGGGGCUAAGUCGUAACAAGGUACCC
rnacentral:rRNA from 1 species